rnacentral:rRNA from 1 species
GACGAACGCUGGCGGCGUGCCUAAUACAUGCAAGUAGAACGCACAGUUUAUACCGUAGCUUGCUACACCAUAGACUGUGAGUUGCGAACGGGUGAGUAACGCGUAGGUAACCUGCCUGGUAGCGGGGGAUAACUAUUGGAAACGAUAGCUAAUACCGCAUAAUAUUAAUUAUUGCAUGAUAAUUAAUUGAAAGGUGCAAUUGCACCACUACCAGAUGGACCUGCGUUGUAUUAGCUAGUAGGUGAGGUAACGGCUCACCUAGGCGACGAUACAUAGCCGACCUGAGAGGGUGAUCGGCCACACUGGGACUGAGACACGGCCCAGGCUCCUACGGGAGGCAGCAGUAGGGAAUCUUCGGCAAUGGACGAAAGUCUGACCGAGCAACGCCGCGUGAGUGAAGAAGGUUUUCGGAUCGUAAAGCUCUGUUGUAAGAGAAGAACGGGUGUGAGAGUGGAAAGUUCACACUGUGACGGUAUCUUACCAGAAAGGGACGGCUAACUACGUG